CCCUUAGAUGUUCUGGGCCGCACGCGCGCUACACUGAGUGUCUGAGAUACGAGUCUGCCUGGUCCGGCAAGGUCUAGGUAAUCGCUAAAAGACACAUCAUGCUUGGGAUAGAUUAUUGCAAAUAUUAAUCUUGAACGAGGAAUUCCCAGUAAGCGCAAGUCAACAGCUUGCGUUGAUUACGUCCCUGCCCUUUGUACACACCGCCCGUCGCUACUACUGAUUGGAUGUUUAAGCGAGGUUCUCGAACUGCUAGCGACUUAGCUUCGGUGAGGUCGCAGUGUGGGAAGUGAACCUAGCUUUGGUGUCUAGAGGAAGUAAAAGUCGUAACA
rnacentral:rRNA from 1 species